UACGGAGGAUGCGAGCGUUAUCCGGAUUUAUUGGGUUUAAAGGGUGCGUAGGCGGGCUAUUAAGUCAGUGGUGAAAUCCUGCAGCUUAACUGCAGAACUGCCGUUGAUACUGAUAGUCUUGAGUUUGGUUAAGGUAGGCGGAAUGUGUAAUGUAGCGGUGAAAUGCUUAGAUAUUACACAGAACACCAAUUGCGUAGGCAGCUUACUGAGCCGACACUGACGCUGAGGCACGAAAGCGUGGGGAUCGAACAGGAUUA
rnacentral:rRNA from 1 species